UACGGAGGGGGCUAGCGUUGUUCGGAAUUACUGGGCGUAAAGCGCACGUAGGCGGCUUUGUAAGUUAGAGGUGAAAGCCUGGUGCUCAACACCAGAACUGCCUUUAAGACUGCAUCGCUUGAAUCAUGGAGAGGCGGGUGGAAUUCCGAGUGUAGAGGUGAAAUUCGUAGAUAUUCGCAAGAACACCAGUGGCGAAGGCGGCUCACUGGCCCGAUACUGACGCUGAGGCACGAAAGCGUGGGGAGCAAACAGG
rnacentral:rRNA from 1 species